AACGCACAUUGCGCCCCUUGGUAUUCCGAGGGGCAUGCCUGUUCGAGCGUCAUUUCAAACCUCAAGCGCAAGCUUGGUAUUGGGCGCCGUCCGUCAAGGACGCGCCAGAAACCUGUAGGCAGCGGUGCCCGUCUCCCAGCGUAGUCAGUAAUUUCUACCCGCCCGGAGUCACGCGUGCGUCGCCCGCCGGACAACACAUUUCAUUUUCUAUGGUUUGACCUCGGAUCAGGUAGGGAUACCCGCUGAACUUAA
rnacentral:misc_RNA from 1 species